UAGGGAAUCUUCGGCAAUGGGGGGAACCCUGACCGAGCAACGCCGCGUGAGUGAAGAAGGUUUUCGGAUCGUAAAGCUCUGUUGUUAAGGAAGAACGAGUGUGAGAAUGGAAAGUUCAUGCUGUGACGGUACUUAACCAGAAAGGGACGGCUAACUACGUGCCAGCAGCCGCGGUAAUACGUAGGUCCCGAGCGUUGUCCGGAUUUAUUGGGCGUAAAGCGAGCGCAGGCGGUUAGAAAAGUCUGAAGUGAAAGGCAGUGGCUCAACCAUUGUAGGCUUUGGAAACUGUUUAACUUGAGUGCAGAAGGGGAGAGUGGAAUUCCAUGUGUAGCAGUGAAAUGCGUAGAUAUAUGUAGGAACACCGGUGGCGAAAGCGGCUCUCUGGUCUGUAACUGACGCUGAGGCUCGAAAGCGUGGGGAGCGAACAGG
rnacentral:rRNA from 1 species